UACGUAGGGGGCUAGCGUUGUCCGGAUUUAUUGGGCGUAAAGAGCUCGUAGGCGGUUCCGUAAGUCAGAUGUGAAAACUCAGGGCUCAACCCGGAGACGCCAUCUGAUACUGCGGUGACUGGAGUCUGGUAGGGGAACACGGAAUUCCUGGUGUAGCGGUGAAAUGCGCAGAUAUCAGGAAGAACACCCGUGGCUAAGGCGGCUCUCUAGUACGGUACUGACGCUGAGACGUGAAAGCGUGGGGAGCAAACAGG
rnacentral:rRNA from 1 species